GACAGAGGGUGCAAACGUUGUUCGGAAUUACUGGGCGUAAAGCGUGCGCAGGCGGCCUUGCAAGUCGGGCGUGAAAUCCCACGGCUCAACCGUGGAAGUGCACUCGAAACUGCUUGGCUAGAGUCUUGGAGAGGAAGGCGGAAUGCUUGGUGUAGAGGUGAAAUUCGUAGAUAUCAAGCGGAACACCGGUGGCGAAGGCGGCCUUACUGGACAAUGCUGACGCUAAAACACGAAAGCGUGGGGAGCAAACAGG
rnacentral:rRNA from 1 species